GCUUACGGCCAUAUCAGCCUGGGUACGCCCGAUCUCGUCUGAUCUCGGAAGCUAAGCAGGGUCUGGUAUGGUUAGUACUUGGAUGGGAGACCGCCUGGGAAUACCAGGUGCUGUAAGCA
rnacentral:rRNA from 1 species